rnacentral:rRNA from 1 species
UACGUAGGGGGCUAGCGUUGUCCGGAAUCAUUGGGCGUAAAGCGCGUGUAGGCGGUCCGGUAAGUCCGCUGUGAAAGUCGGGGGCUCAACCCUCGGAUGCCGGUGGAUACUGUCGGGCUUGAGUACGGAAGGGGCAACUGGAAUUCUUGGUGUAGCGGUGAAAUGCGUAGAUAUCGGAAGGAACACCAGUGGCGAAGGCGGCUACCUGGACUGACACUGACGCUGAGGCGCGAGAGCGUGGGGAGCAAACAGG